rnacentral:rRNA from 1 species
GACGAACGCUGGCGGCGUGCUUAACACAUGCAAGUCGAACGGAAAGGCCCUGCUUUUGUGGGGUGCUCGAGUGGCGAACGGGUGAGUAACACGUGAGUAACCUGCCCUUGACUUUGGGAUAACUUCAGGAAACUGGGGCUAAUACCGGAUAGGAGCUCCUGCUGCAUGGUGGGGGUUGGAAAGUUUCGGCGGUUGGGGAUGGACUCGCGGCUUAUCAGCUUGUUGGUGGGGUAGUGGCUUACCAAGGCUUUGACGGGUAGCCGGCCUGAGAGGGUGACCGGCCACAUUGGGACUGAGAUACGGCCCAGACUCCUACGGGAGGCAGCAGUGGGGAAUAUUGCACAAUGGGCGGAAGCCUGAUGCAGCAACGCCGCGUGCGGGAUGACGGCCUUCGGGUUGUAAACCGCUUUCGCCUGUGACGAAGCGUGAGUGACGGUAAUGGGUAAAGAAGCACCGGCUAACUACGUGCCAGCAGCCGCGGUGAUACGUAGGGUGCGAGCGUUGUCCGGGUUUAUUGGGCGUAAAGGGCUCGUAGGUGGUUGAUCGCGUCGGAAGUGUAAUCUUGGGGCUUAACCCUGAGCGUGCUUUCGAUACGGGUUGACUUGAGGAAGGCAGGGGAGAAUGGAAUUCCUGGUGGAGCGGUGGAAUGCGCAGAUAUCAGGAGGAACACCAGUGGCGAAGGCGGUUCUCUGGGCCUUUCCUGACGCUGAGGAGCGAAAGCGUGGGGAGCGAACAGGCUUAGAUACCCUGGUAGUCCACGCUGUAAACGGUGGGUACUAGGUGUGGGGUCCAUUCCACGGGUUCCGUGCCGUAGCUAACGCUUUAAGUACCCCGCCUGGGGAGUACGGCCGCAAGGCUAAAACUCAAAGGAAUUGACGGGGCCCCGCACAAGCGGCGGAGCAUGCGGAUUAAUUCGAUGCAACGCGUAGAACCUUACCUGGGUUUGACAUGGAUCGGGAGUGCUCAGAGAUGGGUGUGCCUCUUUUGGGGUCGGUUCACAGGUGGUGCAUGGCUGUCGUCAGCUCGUGUCGUGAGAUGUUGGGUUAAGUCCCGCAACGAGCGCAACCCUUGUUCACUGUUGCCAGCACGUUAUGGUGGGGACUCAGUGGAGACCGCCGGGGUCAACUCGGAGGAAGGUGGGGAUGACGUCAAGUCAUCAUGCCCCUUAUGUCCAGGGCUUCACGCAUGCUACAAUGGCUGGUACAGAGAGUGGCGAGCCUGUGAGGGUGAGCGAAUCUCGGAAAGCCGGUCUCAGUUCGGAUUGGGGUCUGCAACUCGACCUCAUGAAGUCGGAGUCGCUAGUAAUCGCAGAUCAGCAACGCUGCGGUGAAUACGUUCCCGGG